CGGUCCUGCUAUCGCAUGUUGAAAGAAAUCAAGAAAAGGAGAGAAGAUUGGCUUGAGGGGAAUGGUGGGAGCUCAGAUUUGGAAGCUAACAAGAAACAAUGGUGCAGAUUGUGGGGAGCUAGAAUACCAUCCAAGCUGAAGAAUUUUGGUUGGCGUCUUUCACAUAAUAGCAUCCCGACAGAAGGGAUGAGGUUCCAUAGACAUACGUCAGAAUCGAAUGUGUGCAAGAUUUGUGAGGGGGUUGUUGAUAGCUGGAAGCACUCCCUUAUUGAUUGUCAUAUGGCAAAGUGUGUAUGGGCCAUGUUGGAUGAAGAGUUGGUGGAGCACAUGAUAUCUAUCAGAUCGGAGGACGCCCGCUUAUGGCUGCAGGAGAUGCAACUUUCCUGUAAUGAAGAACAGUUUGUGAAGGCAAUAGUCACUCUCUGGUCCAUAUGGUGGGUGAGAAGGAAGGCAAUACAUGAAGAUCAAUACCAAUCACCUCAUUCCACCUUGUGUUUUAUCAACAAGUAUUUAGCUGAUCUAUCUCUAGUUCCUCGAAAGGUGUCUGUAACGCAGCAGAGAGGUGGAGCGCCGCAAAGUUCGUCUCAUCACCAGUUGAAGUGGAGUCCUCCUCCAGCAGGGUGGGCAAAGCUGAAUGUUGACGCUGCAAUAUCAAGAUGCGGGAACAAAGGAGCUGCUGCGGUGGUUUGCCGGGAUUACACCGGCUUGUAUCUGGGCGCUUCAGCACUCGUGACAGAGAACAUGACGGAUCUGGAGACGCUUGAGGCUAUGGCCUGCAAAGAGGGGCUAUGCUUGGCCCUCGACAUGAACUUGCGGCAUGUCCAAAUCAGCACAAAUUGUCUGGUAACAGUGAAGCAUGCAAACGAGGCGUUUCUGGGACCGAGCAAGGUGAUAGUAGACGAGAUUAAGGAGAUGCUGCAUUUAUUUCCUUACUCAGUGCUUGUUCAUGAAAAACGUGAAUGUAAUUUAGAAGCUCACAUGCUUGCUAAAGCUGCUACUUCAUUAGCCUGUGGUCGCCAUCUUUGGCUCACAGGAACCCCGAAC
rnacentral:rRNA from 1 species